UCUUUAGUGUAAGUAUAUCCUGUGCAAUAUUUGGUACAUACUUACACUAAAA
rnacentral:pre_miRNA from 1 species